ACUCCUACGGGAGGCAGCAGUGGGGAAUUUUGGACAAUGGACGCAAGUCUGAUCCAGCCAUUCCGCGUGCAGGAUGAAGGCCCUCGGGUUGUAAACUGCUUUUGUACGGAACGAAAAGGUCUCUAUUAAUACUAGGGGCUCAUGACGGUACCGUAAGAAUAAGCACCGGCUAACUACGUG
rnacentral:rRNA from 1 species